rnacentral:ncRNA from 1 species
CUCGACAAGGGCAAACUCGUCGUGAGACGGGGACGCAAAGCGAGAGGCCUCGAGUUCCGAGGUAGCUCAGCUACCGAAG